GGCAUAUAUCUAGACUAGAACAAAUCUUUUCCUGCUAAGUUGCUGAAUUGGCAGAGAAGCCCGUGGACUUCGCAAUACCUGAAAUCAAGGCAGAAUUGUCGGAGAAGAUGUUCAAUGGGGCAGAUCUGUGGAAAAGUUUUAUUGCAUUUAUUUAUAUUAUAUUCGUGUGGAUUUGUGUGUUUUAUCUUGCGAGUGUUGAUGUAAGUGUACAUUUUUAGUUUUGGUAUUUUUCAUUUUAGACUGAGUAUUCUACUUUUACUGCUAUUUACUAUUGAGAUUUUACAAAGCAGCUGCUGUGUAAGCCGAGCUGGUUUACAUUUGCUGGUUGUUUUGCAGAGAACACCCAGCACCUGCAUUUUACUGGUCACCUGGAAAGACCCUGUCACCUCCUAAAUCUCAUAUAGAGCAGAGGAAAUGCCACUGCAUGCAGCUCGCUGCCCGCUGUGAACUCCUAUGAGGAAGAAGGGAAAGAAAACCUAAUUCAAGGGAACUGCUGACCUUGGGCCAAGUGCUGUCCGGAAUGUGGAGGGAAUCCAUUGGAAUGAGACUCAGUUUUGUUUUUCUCAAGAAGCUCAUGUGAAUUGGGGUUUGGGCACAGAUCUAUGGACAAGAAAGUCUCGUAAGAGAGAUAAGUGUUAAAAUAGAGGUGUGUACUGGAUACCCUGGAAAUAUACCACAGAGACAACGAUUGACUGUCUGGGCCUGGGAGGGAGGCUGCAGCAAUUUAUAGAACGUGUUAUAAAGGAGAGGACUGCGAAAAUGAAUUGGGAAGGGCUUGUAGGAAUUUGCCAACUUGACAGGGUGAGGAAGGGGGUGGUGGGCAGAGGGGUCAGCUUAGUCAAGUGCAUGGAAGAGUGAGGGUGCAUUGGGGGAGUGCAACUAGUUUGGGGCAGUUGGAGCAAAAAGUGAAUGUGCCUGAGGAAGGAAUAGUAUGUGAGGAAGAUGGAGAUACAGACAAGGUUCAGCUUUUAAGGUCCA
rnacentral:lncRNA from 1 species